GAUGAACGCUGGCGGCGUGCCUAAUACAUGCAAGUCGAGCGAAGCGGGGACGGGGGAGUAACACGUGGAUAACCUCCUAUAAGACUGGGGGAACUUCGGGAAACCGGAGCUAAACCGGAUACUUAAGGAUGGAUCCACGCUGCAUUAGCUGGUUGGUAAGGUAACGGCUUACCAAGGCAACGAUGCAUAGCCGACCGGAGAGGGUGACCGGCCACAUGGGAACUGAGAAACGGCCCAGACUCCUACGGGAGGCAGCAGUAGGGAAUCUUCCGCAAUGGGCGAAAGCCUGAGGGAGCAACGCCGCGUGAGUGAUGAAGGUCUUCGGAUCGUAAAACUCUGUUAUUAGGGAAGCGGUACCUAAUCAGAAAGCCACGGCUAACUACGUGCCAGCAGCCGCGGUAAUUC
rnacentral:rRNA from 1 species